CGGCUCGCGUUAUGCAGGUACGGGUUGGCAACUGGAAAAGACACAGCAUCACUGUUGCAUCACUGUUGUUAACAUUGUCAAGCCUCAGUUCAGACAAAUAAUGGAGUGUUGGUUUUAAAGUUUGUUUUAAAGCGCCAGAUGGGUAAAGCCAGAUAUCUCUGCCAUACUGAGCCAAACUACAGUAAUGAAAGUCUUUAAAAUCUUCAAAAAUGUUGAGGACAUCUCUAAGAACACACAUCAAGUCAGGACUAUUGCUCCAUCUAAAGACGAACUGAUAAACAACAUAGUUCCAGUAACUGAAGCACCAGGUGUAGCUUAUUCAACUGAAUAGAUUGCCUAAUUUGCAUACAGCUGGCUGCAGGCAACGCUCUAAAGAGAGCCAUGUCAGCCUCGGACAACAUGUUGCCUGACUACUGGAGUCACAAUCAUUUAUCCAAAAGGUGUCUGUGUCGAGCAAAGAAAAGUACAGAAAGGGCAGCAAGCAGGUGAAUUGGGUUGAAUGAUUCAGGUUAUCAAGGCAGGAAGUUCAUAGAUAAAAAAAAGUUCCAGUUCAAAUCCAA